rfam:Ovis aries breed Texel chromosome 2, whole genome shotgun sequence.
UCCCUGGUGGCUCAGAGGUUAAAGCGUCUGCCUCCAAUGCAGCAGACCCGGGUUUGAUCCCUGAGUUGGGAA